UGGGGAAUAUUGCACAAUGGGCGCAAGCCUGAUGCAGCCAUGCCGCGUGUGUGAAGAAGGCCUUCGGGUUGUAAAGCACUUUCAGCGAGGGGGAAGGUGGUGAGCUUAAUACGCUCAUCAAUUGACGUUACUCGCAGAAGAAGCACCGGCUAACUCCGUGCCAGCAGCCGCGGUAAUACGGAGGGUGCAAGCGUUAAUCGGAAUUACUGGGCGUAAAGCGCACGCAGGCGGUUUGUUAAGUCAGAUGUGAAAUCCCCGGGCUCAACCUGGGAACUGCAUUUGAAACUGGCAAGCUAGAGUCUCGUAGAGGGGGGUAGAAUUCCAGGUGUAGCGGUGAAAUGCGUAGAGAUCUGGAGGAAUACCGGUGGCGAAGGCGGCCCCCUGGACGAAGACUGACGCUCAGGUGCGAAAGCGUGGGGCAGCAAACAGGAUUAGAUACCCUGGUAGUCCACGCUGUAAACGAUGUCGAUUUUGGAGGUUGUGCCCUUGAGGCGUGGCUUCCGGAGCUAACGCGUUAAAUCGACCGCCUGGGGAGUACGGCCGCAAGGUUAAAACUCAAAGGAAUUGACGGGGUC
rnacentral:rRNA from 1 species